UCCCUGAUAGCUCAGUUGGUAAAGAAUUUGCCUGCAGUGCAGGAGACCCUGGUUCGAUUCCUGGGUCGGGAA
rnacentral:tRNA from 1 species